AUGAAGCGGCAUCUGUUCGUGGUGCUAGAGGACUACGACGAGGACAGCUUCGCGAUCCAUAAGCUGGACAUUGGCGGCGACGGCGACGACGAGGGCGAUCUGGACAUUCACUCCGGAAUAUCCCUGCGGCGUCUCCCCGAGCCUCCCGCCGGCCGAAUAGGGUGCCGUUACGGGGACCGCCGUAUGCUAGUGCGGAAAGAUAUGCAGUUCACCGUCCUGGGCAGCCGCAUCAUUGCCAUAGGCCCCAGCACCGACUUAAACUUGACCUCGGCCGGCUCCUCGAUCGUCGUCUACGACACCAGGACGGCGGCGCUGACCAUAUCCGACCUUCCUGGGAUGAAUAGGUACCACAGCUACGAGUUGGUGGUGGCCGCCAGGGAUAGGCUGUACGCGCUCGAAUACGACGGCCUCUGCCGCUCCGAUGACGUGCACAUCUACGGAGGCUUGCACUGCCUCAAGAGCGACGACGACAAGGCAGAUCGCCGGGGCGGACGGUCGAGUUGCAGCAGGGGCACCAUCUUCCUGUCCGCCGCCAACAAAAUCCCCGCCGGAGGGUUUGCUCACGUGCCCCCGGGCACCUUCUCCUACGGCGUCCGGAGCGGGAGGUGGACGCGCCGCGGCGACUGGAUGCUGCCGUUCAAGGGCCCCGCACACGACGACCCCGACCUGGACGCCUGGGUUGGCCUCGACACCUCCUGCGAUGAUCCAGACGAUGACGACCCCUGCCACAAGGACGAGAUCCACCUGUGCGCGUGCGGCGUCCCGUCUGGUGGCCGUGCCAGCAGGCACGGCCAGCCGCCGCCGUGGAAGAAGGUCCGCGUCGACAAGCUGUUGUGGGAGGACCUGGACUGCAGCCACGUCAAGAUGCAGCUCCUGUACGUGGGUGGACGGAGCGACUACUGCCUCCUUGAGCAUCUGCGACUGCGAGUCAAGGCCACGGCCGGGGAUGGCGAGUACGAGUACGUGCUCCGUUUAACUAUGUUCCGAGUCGCCUGUGGUGAUGACGGGGAGCUCGUGCUCGUGGCUCGGCGGCCUGCCCGAACUUACCAACUGCCCAGCGGUGAUGCUGCUCGUGCCUUCUUCUGCAUGUGA
rnacentral:rRNA from 1 species